rnacentral:ncRNA from 1 species
AAACAAGCGUUGACCGGGAAAAGUACGCAGUCCCCUGCAUCCAAGGAAGUCCGCCCUCGACUGAAAGCGCGGAUAUGCAGGAACUCCGGAAGUUCACCCCGCGAGCUGCUAGACGGGGACCGGCCGAGUGCCGUAAAGUCUAGCCGGUGAUGAGCCGUUAUUCAAUGGAGUGAUCGCCUACGCGCGAUAACUAGGGUGGUACCGCGAAUCAAUGCCUCGUCCCUUUU